UGGGGAAUAUUGCACAAUGGGCGCAAGCCUGAUGCAGCCAUGCCGCGUGUGUGAAGAAGGCCUUCGGGUUGUAAAGCACUUUCAGCGAGGAGGAAGGGUAGUGUGUUAAUAGCACAUUGCAUUGACGUUACUCGCAGAAGAAGCACCGGCUAACUCCGUGCCAGCAGCCGCGGUAAUACGGAGGGUGCAAGCGUUAAUCGGACUUACUGGGCGUAAAGCGCACGCAGGAGGUUUGGUAAGUCAGAUGUGAAAUCCCCGCGCUUAACGUGGGAACUGCAUUUGAAACUGGCAAGCUAGAGUCUUGUAGAGGGGGGUAGAAUUCCAGGUGUAGCGGUGAAAUGCGUAGAGAUCUGGAGGAAUACCGGUGGCGAAGGCGGCCCCCUGGACAAAGACUGACGCUCAGGUGCGAAAGCGUGGGGAGCAAACA
rnacentral:rRNA from 1 species